ACUCUCCCGCCUUGCGAGCCCAGCGCAGCCCGCAGGGGCUCCCGGCGGAUAAGGGGCGGGGCUCGCAGCCCGCGGCCCGCAGCCCUGCGGGGUCAGACCCUGGACCCAGACGCCGUGUCGCCAGCCCGGGUGCCCAGUGGGGAGGGGCAGGGCCGGACCCCAGCGCAGCGCCCAGCCGCGGCGCCUCUCACCUGCCCGCCUGCGCCCCGCGCCCCCGCAGGAAGUGCGGGCCUCGGUGCAGAGAGGAGAAACUGCCGGAGGUCGGGGAGAAAAGAGUACGGAAGGGAGAGGCGGCGACCAGAGGGUGGGGAGCUGCGGUUCCUGUCAUGUGACCCCCUCCCCUCGACUCUCUCGCAGCCCUGCCCGGCGUGGCGGGAGCCGGUCGGAGGACGGUCUCCUCCCGAGACUUGGUCUCUGGGCCCCAGGAUUUCUCUUCAGCAUUGACCAUGCCAGGGCCAAGACUGUGAGGUUCCCUCAACAACCACCCCACAUCUCUCCCAGGAAGUGGCGCAUUGCUGCCCCAACUUCCACCCCACCGCAGAGAUGCAGAGGCAGUGGUCGGUGCAGGCUCCCAGGGAGCCAGAAGCCGAGCCAGGGGGCGAGGAGCUAUGGGAGCAGGAGAUGGCGCGGCUGUGCCUCUCCCAGCAGCCGGUGCGGGUGCUGCCCUACGCCAUGGUGGACAAGCGUUUUAUCCGGCAGCUGCGGGAGCCCGAGGGGGUGAAGACCUCCUGCUGGCAGCAAUGGCGUCGCAGGCGGCAGACUGCGGGCUGGCGACUGGGGGAGGCGGUUCGGCGGCUGACCCGGGGCUGUGGGCUCUGGGAGGGGGCUCUCUACGAGAUCGGCGGCCUCUUUGGCACUGGAAUCCAGUCCUAUUUCACCUUCCUUCGCUUCCUGCUGCUACUUAACCUGCUGACCCUGCUUCUGACCAGCAGCUUCGUCCUGCUGCCCCUGGUCUGGCUCCGGCCCCCUGACCCAGGACCAGCUCUGAACUUCACUCUCCAGUGUCCUGGUAGUGGCCACCUACCCCAGACCGGUGUUUCCAAGUUCAACAAUCUACUCUGGAAUGUUUUUACCGGCAGGGCCUUCAACAACACGUAUCUCUUUUACGGAGCAUACCGGGCGGGGCCCGAGAGCAGCUCAACAUACAGCAUCCGCCUGGCCUACCUCCUGAGCCCACUGGCCUGCCUGGUCCUCUGCUUCUGUGGGAUUCUGCGGCGGAUGGUGAAGGGGCUGCCACAGAAGAUGUUCCUGGGCCAGGACUACCGGUCGCCUCUCAGUGCCAAGGUCUUCUCGUCCUGGGACUUCUGCAUCCGGGGGCAGGAGGCCGCCACCAUCAAGAGGCAUGAGAUCAGCAAUGAAUUCAAGAUGGAGCUGGAGGAGGGGCGUCACUUACUGCUGCUGCAGCAGCAGACCCGAGCUCAGAGGGCCUGCCACCUGCUUACCUACCUUCGGGUCAACGUCCUCAUCGGGCUCCUGGUGGUUGGAGCCAUCAGCGCCAUCUUCUGGGCCACCAAGUACUCGCAGGACAACAAGGAGGAGUCCUUGUUUCUGCUGCUCCAGUACCUGCCCCCUGGGGUCAUCGCCCUGGUCAACUUUCUGGGUCCCCUGCUGUUCGUUUUCCUGGUCCAGCUGGAGAACUACCCUCCCAACACUGAGGUCAACCUCACCCUUAUCUGGUGCGUGGUGCUCAAGCUGGCCAGCCUGGGAAUGUUCUCCUUCUCACUGGGCCAGACUGUGCUGUGCAUCGGAAGAAACAAGACCAGCUGUGAGUCCUACGGCUACAACGCCUGUGACUACCAGUGCUGGGAGAACUCCGUGGGGGAGGAGCUAUACAAACUCAGCAUCUUCAACUUUCUUCUCACGGUGGCCUUCGCCUUCCUUGUCAGCCUGCCUAGGAGGAUGUUGGUGGAGCGGUUCUCAGGCCGGUUCUGGGUUUGGCUGGACCGAGAGGAGUUCCUGGUGCCCAAGAACGUGCUGGACAUCGUGGAGGGGCAGACGGUCACCUGGAUGGGCCUCUUCUACUGCCCCCUGCUGCCCCUACUCAACAGCGUCUUCAUCUUCCUCACCUUCUACAUCAAGAAGUACACCCUGCUGAGGAACUCCAGGGCGUCCCCUCGGCGAUUCCGCGCCUCCAGCUCCAUCUUCUUCUUCCAACUGGUGCUCCUCCUGGGCCUGCUCCUGGCCGCCACACCCCUGGGCUAUGUGGUCAGCAGCAUCCGCUCCUCCUGGGACUGUGGCCUCUUCGCCAACUACUCGGCCCCCUGGCAGGUGGUCCCUGAGCUGGUGGCCCUCUGGCUCCCACUCUCCAGCCAGCGCAUCCUCCACUACCUGGGCUCCCACGCUUUCAGCUUCCCGCUCCUCAUCCUGCUCAGCCUUGCCCUGACCGUGUGCGUCUCCCAGUCCCAGGCCAGUGCCAGAGCCAUCCGGAGACUGCGGAAGCAGUUGGUGUGGCCACCAGCAGCUCCUCACAGGAGAGAGGAGAGUCGGCCAGCACACUGCGGGGAGGAGUACCCCCAGCUGGGGACCCUGGCGUCAGGCCCCCGCCGGUGGUAGAGACCUUGGCUGGCAGGGUGAGAGGUUGUUGCUGAGCCGGUGCCCCAGCUGUAGGCUGACUGCACCCUGCCGGACAGCAGGCCAGGCCUCAGGGCAGAGGUGUUCUGCGGGCAUCCUCGGGCAGCCCACCUACAGACUGGUCAGAAGGGACGGGCUCACCCACAUGCUGCAGAUUCCGAACCCAGGGGGAGUCUGCCAACUUCUCCUUCCCACCAAAGCAGACGUCGGACUAGUUCUGGUGCCAGGCUGAAAGUGACAUCGAUGUCCAGCACAGUCCCUUGACACUGGUACUCCCAGGAGAGCUGCACCAGGAGGCCACCUUCGUGCUGGUUGGUACCCUCAUCUCCAUCAUAGCCUUCUUUUCUUGGAAGCUGAUCUGGACCAAGCAAACCAGUUUCAGGAGGAAGCGGCAAAGAAAAAAAAGAACCAGUUAACACUAACAAGACCCAAGAUGGCAGAGGAUUAGACUUCCAAUGGAUCUAGAGCUUAUUAUACACUCUAUACAUUAACUAGAAGACAUACCCACCCGCGCUAGGAUGGUUGACAAUCACCAUGACGAUAACUGGAAAAGCCCCCACAAGGACUGAAAAGGAGAGCUGCACCAGUUUCAGGUCCAAACCACACCCCUGUUCUUGGAUAAAAUGUUCCUCUUGCUCUUCCAAACCCUCCCUUUUACUCCAACCCUCCUAUAUAUUUAGUGUCUCCAUCUGAAUUGGCUUGAAUUGAUUUACAAACUAGGUUCCCACUUCAGUCUUUGGCCAUUG